rnacentral:rRNA from 1 species
AACAAGGAUUUCCCCUAGUAACUGCGAGUGAAGAGGGAUGAGCUCAAAUUUUGAAUCUGGCGGUCCUUGCGGCCGUCCGAGUUGUAAUCUAGAGAAGCGUUUUCCGCGCUGGACCGUGUACAAGUCUCCUGGAAGGGAGCGUCAUAGAGGGUGAGAAUCCCGUCUUUGACACGGACUGCCAGGGCUUUUGUGAUGCGCUCUCGACGAGUCGAGUUGUUUGGGAAUGCAGCUCAAAUUGGGUGGUAAAUUCCAUCUAAAGCUAAAUACAGGCGAGAGACCGAUAGCGAACAAGUACCGUGAGGGAAAGAUGAAAAGAACUUUGGAAAGAGAGUUAAACCGUACGUGAAAUUGCUGAAAGGGAAACGCUUGAUGUCAGUCGCGUUGGCCGGGGAUCAGCCUUGCUUUUGCUGGGCGUACUUCCUGGUCGACGGGUCAGCAUCAGUUUCGGCCGCUGGAUAAAGGCGAGGGGAAUGUGGCACUCUUCGGGGUGUGUUAUAGCCCCUUGUUGCAUGCGGUGGCUGGGACUGAGGAACUCAGCAUGACCCCUCGAGGGUUCGGGGCUUGGGCCUACGUUAACGUGCUUAGGAUGCUGGCAUAAUGGCCUUAAGCGACCCGUCUUGAAACACGGACCAAGGAGUCUAACAUGCCCGCGAGUGUUUGGGUGUUUAAAACCCGAGCGCGUAAUGAAAGUGAAAGUUGAGAACCCUGUCGUGGGGUGCAUCAACGCCCGGACCAGAGCUUUUGUGACGGAUCUGCGGUAGAGCGUGUAUGUUGGGACCCGAAAGAUGGUGAACUAUGCCUGAAUAGGGUGAAGCCAGAGGAAACUCUGGUGGAGGCUAGUAGCGAUUCUGACGUGCAAAUCAUAUCGAAUUUGGG